UUUUUUUUUUUUUUUUUAAGAGCAUUCUUGAGUUUAAAAGCCCGUAUCUUUUGCGGUUAAAAAGAGGUGGUGUCAAACUGAGAGCUUUCAGCUUUUUUUGGAGACAGUCCUGGUGUUGACCACCCUCAAAACUGGUCUCUCUCGGCUCACUUCCUACAUGAGCUCACCCAGAGCAAACAGAGACCUCAGCCCCAUUGACCUCAGUGUCAUACAAACACAGGAAAAAGACAAAUCUUCUCCCAGAGAGCCCGAAUCUGGCACAGCCUGAGGGAUAACAAGUUUUAUGGUUCAUUUUACCAAUGGGCAACACAGCCACACACAGCAGCCCGUGGCUCUGGAGCUUAAUGCCCAGGCCAGGUUACCAGAGUGUGGCAGUUCCAAGUUAUCCUCAUCUCUGGUCAGUGCCUCAAGAACUGAAAUCACCUUAGUCACCAGAAUAAGUUGCUCUCCCUCACUUCAACCACUUUUAUCAAAAAAAGUUAAGCAGAAAGUACAGGCAGACAUUAUUUUAAUCUUUCCCACCAUGGUGAGGAAAAGCUCUUGAUGGGAAAAUGACACUGAGUGAUCGCCCUCAUGAUGUGGGUGAGAAGUGCAAGUGAAAUAAUUGAGUAAAUAUAUGAAGAAGUCUCCGUCAUUUCCUUCCCCCGAUGUUGCCAUAGCCACAUCCAAAACAAAGCUUGUUCAGCCCCUGAGCCAUCACUGCUGACAGGCUGCUGCACCUUUCGAUGAAAUGUGAUUUUGUCAUCACUCUUGCCUCGGUUUAAAUUAAUUUAGAAGGAUAAAGAUAAUGGUAAUGAAACAAUAAUUAGGCUGUAGCUCUUUCAUUUGCAAAGAUCAGCACAGACAAUGAAGUCAGUCUUAGGAUUCAGGACUUUGGGGAAUGCAUGGGAGGUUGUGGAAUGUCUUUUUUUUUUUUUUUUCCAAAGACACUUAAAAGUAUCUUGAAGUUGCAUUCCAAGUAAGGGAAAAUACUUCCACAGACAGAUGCAGUAUUUCACCAAGUAUCAGCCUCUAACAGGACUACAGGAGUAAACAAAAAGCGUGUUUCAAAUAGUAAAAAGUAUGGAAGCAGAGAUCUUAAUGUCUAUUUAGUCAUAGAGUUCGUGACAAAAAAAAUAAUUUCUUUUGUAAGAUCAUUUGCAAACACUUAAGUUAUUUAACUGCACAAAUAAAAUGGGAACAGGAAAAGAAGGUGGACAAGUGCUGUGAGAAGUUUCAGUUCAGAUGGUGAAUUUUGGGAGCAACAUCAAACAGAACCUCAUUUUAAGAAAGGGGGGAACUUAUUUGAAUAAUUGCAGCCCGAUCUCUUCAGCAAAGGCUUUAAAGUUUUUUUUGCCUUUUUAUUUAUUUUUUUUUGAGUCUGCAGUAACUCUAUUUACAUAUACGAUGGUGUUCCUGCAUGUGCACGAAAACUAUGAGAAACAUCUUCAGAGGACCCUGGAUCAGGCCAUAAAUGAACUACUUGGACUCGGUAUGUCUUAUUUUCUUUGGUAAGUGAAUUAAUAAGUGUUCUGUAUAAGGCAGCUGCCAAGGAAAGCACAUGGGUUGUUUUCACUGGUGAGGCAGCCAGAAAAAAACCUAAACAGCUCAGACAGCACUGCCUUCGAAGAGUCAGCUCCACUCACAACUUCUACCAGUUCUAUUGGGAAAUGAGAUCGGCACCUUUGUGGGGAAAUUCCUACCAGUUUGCCACGCGGGUAUAUAGGCACAGCACCUUCUGCACGCUGCUGCUGCUGUGCAGCAAGCCUGGCUGAGGGCUCUGGGCACACUGCAAAGAUGCAGCCCCAGAGAAACGCGGCCAAGGGCUCACCACAGAUCUGGCAGAAGUCAGCACGCUGCGCUGACAUCAUGCUGCGAACAGACAGCCCUCGCCACUAAACCUUCCCUGCUGCAGUCAGCUACUGAAAAAGGAAAUGGGUGUACAUUAAAAAAAAAAAAAGCACACCUUAACACUUGAUGGUGUUCAUGCCACUUUCCCUUGGCACAGCGGACUAGGAUGUUCGGGCACUGUGGAGCAGGAAGGGUAAAUGGCAGCUUGUGGUUUGGAGCUAUACAGCUCACACUCCUAAAUUCCUCUGCUCCAGCCCACGGCCACGUGAAGGAAAGCCCCAUGCUACACACACCAACAAGAACCACUCACAUAGGCCACCACAAAUGACUUAAUUGGCUUUGCUUUCAAAAUAAAGGGAAGAAGAAAGGCAAGAGUUCUGUGGGAGCUUGACUGUUGCUUUUACACCAGGAAAUAAAGCUCUCCUAGUAUCAGCCAUAACGAAGGCUCAGAGCCUAAUUUUCAGGCAACUGGUGGCUCCUAGUGCCAGAUUAAAACAGGGGUCACUGCUUAGACACAAGAUAUGUAACAGGAAUCUUGCCACAGUCAGUUUCUCUCCAAAUUCUCUGCUGAAGACAGUUAAGGGUGAGUAUCACAGAUCCAGCUGUGCCACUCUUACACGCUGGCAGCAUCAGGGUACAUACAUAGCAGCCAAAGCCAGAGGCAGGGGUAGGGCUAAGGCUAAGGUUUAGCGGGAAUGCACUCUGCAGUCAGGGCUAUUGAUGAAUCCUGCACAGUCUGAUCUUUGUGAUGCCCUUUACUCGGACUUUAGGAAGCACAGCAUGACUUGUAAGUCAAAGACGAGUUAAGAUUAGUUCCUCACACCCUUGUUUCUUCCAGAGUUGCAGCAGGCUCCCCCAGACAGGCAAGGGCUGACUCAUAUGCAAACAGCACUCUGAAGUGCCCCUGAGGACAUCUGACUAAAGAAGAACUAUUGAUUAGGGCUAAAAAUGCCAGAGCAAAUGAUUUAAACUAAGAGGUGAUGUCAGGGGAUUAAAAUAGCCUAUGCGUAAUGUUUGACCAGUGGCGGAUAUCUGUCCAGUGCCCUAGGCUGGACUGGGGGAAAAGGAGUGGUGGUGUGGUGGCUGGUGGCAGGGGGGCUGCAGCAGCAGGUGCCUUGCUGCAGAUAACUCAGCUUCGUGAGCCAAGUUAAGUUCCUCCUGGCAUGAGUAGUGCCCCAUGUUUAAUUCCAGGGUGGGAGAAAGGGUGAACGUUUAGCUAAAUUCUGGUUAAUUUCCAGGUUAAGGUCUUGUCACCAGGGUGAGGUCUCCUGCUGAAUCCUCUCCUGCUAAGAAGCUUCCCCCAGGCUGGGGGGGUCUAAGCAGGGCCUUCCACUGCCUCCCCCAGUACUCAGGGUCCCAUCCAGCCCCGUGCUGCAGUCAGGACCUGCACAAGGCUGUAGGAGAGGAUGCUUUUACAGGGCUUUUUCUUACUCAGCUCUGCUGAGCACAUUGAAAUGAACACAGGGCUUAUCAGGUUGGUUGCAUAGGUUUAGGUUUUGGGCUACAACCCUUAUCUUUGCUCAGACCCAGGCAUGAGGUGAUUUCUACAUCUAGUUCUUCCUGAUUUCUGCCAACAUUGAUACAAGGAUCACCCAGGAGAAGCAGGGCUGCAGUGCAUAUACAUACUCAAAGCCAUUGAAGGCUCUCACUUUGAUUACUACAGGUCAAGGUGAAGUUUCUGCUUCAGCUGACAACAGGCACAGACACUGCGGCAGGACCACCUCUUCCUUUGCCCUGUAGUGUUGCUUGAGUUGCACUUCAGAAGCAUGAAUUUUCUCUGUGUGUUGGAGUUUGGAGCCUUUCAACACUGAGUUCUGAAGAAACUCACUGCUGGUUCUAUUCAAAAUAGAGUGCUUCAGGGAGAUUUAGCGAGCAGUGAAAUCAUGCCAUAAAGCAGUUGCAUGGUCAGUUUCACCAGCCAACACUGGGUUUUACAAAGCACCAAGACAAACUCUGUUGUGUUCCAAGAUGAACUGCCAGCAAGGCACUGAGUUAUCUUUGCCUUUUAUGAGAGCACUAGAUGAGGUCAUUUUCAAAGGCUGUGGGUUAUCCACCUUUCCCAGAACAUGCUGUUUAAACAACAGCCCUCUGCAGCCUUGCAGGGGAGCCUCUGCCACACUUUUGGCAAGAGUUGGCCCCACAAUCUUGAGGUUUGCUGCAGAGCAUCUUCAGAGCAGAAGACACAGAGCAGAUCCCAGCUCAACAGUGUCAUAGGCAGGUGUCACUGCAUGGCCCCAGCCCAACCUAAGUCCAAACAGCUCAGUCUCGCACUGUGCCUUGGCUAAGUCAUGAAAUACCUGCAGAAUGCAGCACCACACUCUCAAGCCAAGCAACACACAGCAGCUUGGCGUGAAAAGGAGCGUGGAUCGAUGCCAAGCCAAGGUCUGGGCCGGGCAUUGCUGCACACAUGCUACUUUAGGUUCGGGUCCUUUCCAUCCCAAACAGACAUAUUAGCACUUAAUUAAUUGCAGAGUCAAACUAUUUUUCUCUUUACUCAUUUUGCUAGAAAGACUCACAGGGGAAAUGUUCUAGGGCCAGAAUCCAAGUCACUACCCCAGUGAAAUCCAGAGCAAUGCCUUUGAUUUUAGCACAGCUGUAGAUUUCUGCAGUGUAAUCUUCUGAGCCUAGCCCAGGCAAUGCCCUUGCACAGAUCACUGUUAUUGCUACUUUUACUUGACAGAGGCAGCAGACCGAUGAAGCAAGGCUACCAACAGUUUACAGAACCAAUCUCCUAGAAAGGAGUUGCAAGAUCUGCCACACAGAUAAAAAUAUAAAAGGCUGAUAUAUUUCUCUUCCGCUUUUUCCAGGGCUAGACUGCUGAUAAGAGUCUACUAGUAAUAGGAAAAAAAAGAGAAGCAAAACCAGAAAACAUUGCAAAUCACUCUACUCUCCUCUCGAGACCUUUCUUAUCUAUGAAAAUCAACAGGCUUCGCAACGGUAGUGAUGAUUUAUUGAGCCACACCUCCACAGUGCCUUCUUUGUGCCCUGUGACACGUUUCCAAGGGAGGUAUGGGGCACACGCUAUCCCCAGUGUGACCAGUGGAGUGGCACAUGCUUGACUCCUUGGAGGAUCAGGCCAGAAACUGCUCCAAAGCCAGCCAGGAGUAAGUGUGAACAGGAACUUGCAGAUACUGUUACUUACCUGGGGCUGGGAGGCCAGAUUCAUCUUAUAAGGAUGCGUCUUCCCCUCUUCGUUUACAAGUGGUGACCAGACUUUUGAUUCCG